rnacentral:rRNA from 1 species
GUGAGGAAUUUUGCGCAAUGGGCGAAAGCCUGACGCAGCAACGCCGCGUGGACGAUGAAGGUCUUCGGAUCGUAAAGUCCUGUCGAGUGGGAAGACACAUGGGGGUCCCAAUACGGCCCUCAUGAGACUGUACCACCAGAGGAAGCCCCGGCUAACUCCGUGCCAGCAGCCGCGGUAAUACGGAGGGGGCCAGCGUUGUUCGGAAUUAUUGGGCGUAAAGGGCGCGUAGGCGGCCGGCUAAGUCUGGCGUGAAAUCCCUCGGCUCAACCGAGGAACUGCGCUUGAUACUGUCCGGCUCGAGUCCGGGAGAGGGUAGUGGAAUUCCCAGUGUAGCGGUGAAAUGCGUAGAUAUUGGGAGGAACACCGGUGGCGAAGGCGGCUACCUGGACCGGUACUGACGCUGAGGCGCGAAAGCUAGGGUAGCAAACAGGAUUAGAUACCCCGGUAGUCC